rnacentral:rRNA from 1 species
UACGUAGGCAGCAAGCGUUGUUCGGAAUUACUGGGCGUAAAGCGUGCGUAGACGGUCAUGUAAGUCGGAUGUGAAAGCCCCGGGCUCAACCUGGGAAUUGCAUUCGAGACUGCAUGGCUUGGGUGCGGAAGAGGGAAGCGGAAUUUCCGGUGUAGCGGUGAAAUGCGUAGAUAUCGGAAGGAACACCAGUGGCGAAAGCGGCUUCCUGGUCCGACACCGACGUUCAGGCACGAAAGCGUGGGGAGCAAACAGG